AUUGCUGUGUGACAAUUAACGUAUCUGUUAUAGGUUAUAUUAUCUAUUUAAUAUAAAAAUAAAAUUAUCAUUCGAUUAAGUGGAUUAAGUUCAAUACGUUUGUCAACGAGUGAACGUAGCUGCAUUAAAGACAUCGACUGUGAAAUUACCGUUCUUAAUUUUAAUGAUGGUAAAAGUUGAAUGGAUCUGCAUUGUACCAGGCUGUAAAUCAAAUUCAAGGACUCCUAAUCAUUUUUUCCCAAAAAGUCCAAUAUUAUCAAAAAAGUGGAAAGAAGCUGUGAAUAAUAGUAUAAUUUUAAAUAUCUUAUCAGAAGAAUUAAGAAAAUAUAGAGUAUGUCACUUGCAUUUUUUACCUGAAGAUUAUAUUUAUACUCAAAAUCGUCGAAGACUGAAACAUAAUGCAGUACCUAGUAUAAAUAUAUAUAAUAUGCAGUUAUUACAGACAGUACAGAAAUAAAUGAUGCAAAUAGAGAGACAAAUGAUGCAAAUACAGAAAUAAAUGAUACAACUGACAUACAGUUGCAUUCACAAUCUGAAACAAAUACUGAAUUACAUUUACAAUCUCAAAUCAGUAAUA